AAGAACCAUUUCAUAUGGAUUGGAAAACAAUUCUUAAAGACCUUUGCUGGCAGUUAUCACGUGGGUUUUAUAAUAUUUAUUUAAAUGUUCCUGCUUUUGACUUAGGCGAGUUAUCACGCUUUGCCAUUUAAAGUCUGGCAAAUUCGUCUUUAUUAUUGUUCUUAAUGAAUUACUUUUGAUCCCAACUCUGUUAUUAUUUAAGUGAGGAUAUAAAAUGUUUCAAAUCAUAAAAUGAGCUGGAGGCUAUAUUUACUGUACCUUUAAUCAAAACAGUGAUUUGAGGUAUUGAUCUUUGAUUUCCCGAAGAGACUUCUAUUUGCCAGAGAGGUUUGAAAUUCACUGGGGAACAUUUAUUUUGUAUCUAUUACUUUGAUGUCCCUUUCAUUUGUACACUGUAGUAGGAGCUAUACUGUACACUACAUUAUUCCAUGGAUUUCAAUAAAUCUAAUUUAUGUUCCUGUAAGAUGUCAGGGUUCAUAUGUUCUUUGAAUGAGACAAGUGGAGUCCUUGAGACCAGGUCAAGAAAUUCCCAGUCUUUUAUGGAAUUUAGAGGUUCAUGAGAUCUCUCCAUGGGGCCACAUGCUUACAUCCUACUUCUUUAGGGUUAAUUUUAAUUUUAUUCUCCCCUUUACAUUUCUCAGUUGUCAUAGUUUCAUAACUCCUCAAGCCCAGAGAGAAGGAAACAAAUUUUAGCCAGAGCAGACGCUCGAGGGUUCUAAAGGAGAAUACGUCAUUCUUCGCGAUGUCUUAACACCACUGCGUAACGCAAGCCACGCACUGAUUAAUGAUAAUAUUAAAAACUUAGCUCUCAGCCUAAAGCGCACUCCAUAAAGGCGUGAGAGUAGAACUCCACGCAAUUCAGACAUCGUUAAACGUACAUGGUGUGGAGUGGACUGAUCUGGCUUAGGGUAUGGCGCCCUGUUCCAUGAAUAACACUGAACUCAGGCUCAGUAAACAGUUGAAGGGAAAUGAUGAUAGUCUUGAAUACUUGAAUUCUAUAAAAGUAGCGAAUUUGAAGUACGU